UCGGGAUGCUAGAGUGGGAACGGGUGAGUAACACGUAGGUGAUCUGCCCUUGAGUUGGGGAUAGCCCAUGGAAACAUGGGGUAAUACCGAAUACGUACCUGAUACUGUGGUACCGGGAAGAAAAGCGCUUCGGCGCUGCUUGAGGAUGAGCCUGCGGCUGAUUAGUUAGUUGGUGGGGUAACGGCCUACCAAAAGCGACGAUCAGUAGCCGGCCUGAGAGGGUGAGCGGCCACACUGGGACUGAGAUACGGCCCAGACUCCUACGGGAGGCAGCAGCUAAGAAUCUUCUACAAUGGACGAAAGUCUGAUAGAGCGACGCCGCGUGGGUGAUGAAGGCCGGAAGGUUGUAAAGCCCUUUUCUAUUCGAGGAAUAACCUCAGGAGGCAAUGCCUGAGGGAUGACGGUAGGGUAGGAAUAAGCCCCGGCCAAUUACGUGCCAGCAGCCGCGGUAACACGUAUGGGGCGAGCGUUGUUCGGAAUCAUUGGGCGUAAAGGGCGCGUAGGCGGAUAUGCAAGCUUGGUGUAAAAGACCGCAGCU
rnacentral:rRNA from 1 species